rnacentral:rRNA from 1 species
AAAUUGAAGAGUUUGAUCAUGGCUCAGAUUGAACGCUGGCGGCAGGCCUAACACAUGCAAGUCGAACGGUAACAGGAAGCAGCUUGCUGCUUCGCUGACGAGUGGCGGACGGGUGAGUAAUGUCUGGGAAACUGCCUGAUGGAGGGGGAUAACUACUGGAAACGGUGGCUAAUACCGCAUAACGUCGCAAGACCAAAGAGGGGGACCUUCGGGCCUCUUGCCAUCAGAUGUGCCCAGAUGGGAUUAGCUUGUUGGUGAGGUAACGGCUCACCAAGGCGACGAUCCCUAGCUGGUCUGAGAGGAUGACCAGCCACACUGGAACUGAGACACGGUCCAGACUCCUACGGGAGGCAGCAGUGGGGAAUAUUGCACAAUGGGCGCAAGCCUGAUGCAGCCAUGCCGCGUGUAUGAAGAAGGCCUUCGGGUUGUAAAGUACUUUCAGCGGGGAGGAAGGUGUUGUGGUUAAUAACCGCAGC